rnacentral:rRNA from 1 species
AUUGAACGCUGGCGGCAUGCCUUACACAUGCAAGUCGAACGGCAGCACGGGUGCUUGCACCUGGUGGCGAGUGGCGAACGGGUGAGUAAUACAUCGGAACAUGUCCUGUAGUGGGGGAUAGCCCGGCGAAAGCCGGAUUAAUACCGCAUACGAUCCACGGAUGAAAGCGGGGGACCUUCGGGCCUCGCGCUAUAGGGUUGGCCGAUGGCUGAUUAGCUAGUUGGUGGGGUAAAGGCCUACCAAGGCGACGAUCAGUAGCUGGUCUGAGAGGACGACAGCCACACUGGGACUGAGACACGGCCCAGACUCCUACGGGAGGCAGCAGUGUGGAAUUUUGGACAAUGGGCGAAAGCCUGAUCCAGCAAUGCCGCGUGUGUGAAGAAGGCCUUCGGGUUGUAAAGCACUUUUGUCCGGAAAGAAAUCCUUGACUCUAAUACAGUCGGGGGAUGACGGUACCGGAAGAAUAAGCACCGGCUAACUACGUG